rnacentral:rRNA from 1 species
GAUGAACGCUAGCUACAGGCUUAACACAUGCAAGUCGUGGGGCAGCAUCGGAGAAGCUUCGGCUUAUCCGGAUGGCGACCGGCGAAUGGGUGAGUAACACGUAUCCAACCUGCCGCCCAGUGAGGAAUAGGCUCCCGAAAGGGAAAUUAAUGCCUCAUGAGGUGUGUUUCUGACAUCAGAGACAUACGAAAGCCGCGAGGCGCUGGGUGAUGGGGAUGCGUCCGAUUAGCUUGACGGCGGGGUAACGGCCCACCGUGGCAUCGAUCGGUAGGGGUUCUGAGAGGAAGGUCCCCCCACAUUGGUACUGAGACACGGACCAGACUCCUACGGGAGGCAGCAGUGAGGAAUAUUGGUCAAUGGGCGCAGGCCUGAACCAGCCAAGUCGCGUGAGGGAAGACGGUCCUACGGGAUUGUAAACCUCUUUUGUCGGGGAUAACGUGCGGGACGGGUCCCGUAUUGAGAGUACCCGAAGAAAAAGCAUCGGCUAACUCCGUGCCAGCAGCCGC